CACUUUCAAAUCAGGUGAUCCCAAGUUUUCCUGUUUGGGAAUUUGACAACUUCUUUGUCAUUCUAAUCAAACCAGAAUGAAUCGCGUUGUAAGAAGCUUGAUUUUGAUACAAAAAGUAGUGGAGAAUCACCAGGAAGUUGAAUAAAUCUCAUAGGAGUUAGGAUGAAGAAGCUAUCCCACUUUCAAACCAGGUGAUCCUAGUUUUCCUGUUUGGGAAUAUGACAACUUCUUUGUCAUUCUAAUCAAACCAGGAUGAAUCGCGAUGUAAGAAGCUUGAUUUUGAUACAUAAAGUAGUGGAGAACCACCAGGAAGUUGAAUAAAU